GAUGAACGCUGGCGGCGUGCCUAAUACAUGCAAGUCGAGCGAACAGACGAGGAGCUUGCUCCUCUGACGUUAGCGGCGGACGGGUGAGUAACACGUGGAUAACCUACCUAUAAGACUGGGAUAACUUCGGGAAACCGGAGCUAAUCCCGGAUAAUAUAUUGAACCGCAUGGUUCAAUAGUGAAAGACGGUUUUGCUGUCACUUAUAGAUGGAUCCGCGCCGCAUUAGCUAGUUGGUAAGGUAAAGGCUUACCAAGGCAACGAUGCGUAGCCGACCUGAGAGGGUGAUCGGCCACACUGGAACUGAGACACGGUCCAGACUCCUACGGGAGGCAGCAGUAGGGAAUCUUCCGCAAUGGGCGAGAGCCUGACGGAGCAACGCCGCGUGAGUGAUGAAGGUCUUCGGAUCGUAAAACUCUGUUAUUAGGGAAGAACAAAUGUGUAAGUAACUAUGCACGUCUUGACGGUACCUAAUCAGAAAGCCACGGCUAACUACGUG
rnacentral:rRNA from 1 species